UACGAAGGGGGCUAGCGUUGCUCGGAAUCACUGGCGUAAAGGGUGCGUAGGCGGGUUUUUAAGUCAGGGGUGAAAUCCUGGAGCUCAACUCCAGAACUGCCUUUGAUACUGAAGAUCUUGAGUCCGGGAGAGGUGAGUGGAACUGCGAGUGUAGAGGUGAAAUUCGUAGAUAUUCGCAAGAACACCAGUGGCGAAGGCGGCUCACUGGCCCGGUACUGACGCUGAGGCACGAAAGCGUGGGGAGCAAACAGG
rnacentral:rRNA from 1 species